rnacentral:rRNA from 1 species
GAUGAACGCUGGCGGCGUGCCUAAUACAUGCAAGUAGAACGCUGAAGGAAGGAGCUUGCUCUUUCCGGAUGAGUUGCGAACGGGUGAGUAACGCGUAGGUAACCUGCCUGGUAGUGGGGGAUAACUAUUGGAAACGAUAGCUAAUACCGCAUAACAGUAGAUGUUGCAUGAUAUCUACUUAAAAGGUGCAAUUGCACCACUACCAGAUGGACCUGCGUUGUAUUAGCUAGUUGGUGAGGUAACGGCUCACCAAGGCGACGAUACAUAGCCGACCUGAGAGGGUGAUCGGCCACACUGGGACUGAGACACGGCCCAGACUCCUACGGGAGGCAGCAGUAGGGAAUCUUCGGCAAUGGACGGAAGUCUGACCGAGCAACGCCGCGUGAGUGAAGAAGGGUUUCGGAUCGUAAAGCUCUGUUGUAAGAGAAGAACGAGUGUGAGAGUGGAAAGUUCACACUGUGACGGUAUCUUACCAGAAAGGGACGGCUAACUACGUG